rnacentral:rRNA from 2 species
GGUUGACCUCGGAUCAGGUAGGGAUACCCGCUGAACUUAAGCAUAUCAAUAAAGCGGAGGAA